UGUCCCGUUGUGUAAUGGUAGCACACCAGAUUCUGGCUCUGUUAGUGAGGGUUCGAAUCCUUCCGGGACAA
rnacentral:tRNA from 1 species